CAAAACAAAUUAAGUAUCGGAGUCUUGAAAGUUGAAUUCAUAUUAUUGUAACUGUACAUAAGAGUUUGUGAUUACAUACUUAGUGAUUCUUGUAUAUGUGUCCAAGAAAGUUUAAAUGACUUAGUGGUAACUGCCAUAUAUUUAUGUCAUACUAACCUGGGUUCGAUCCUUUCCUUGGCAUUGUUUUUUCAUUUUUUACGAGAAAAUAAAUGAGAUGACGUGGCAACUUCAAGCUUUCUGAUUGAUUGAUUUUUCUAUCCUACGUGGACAGCCUAUCUGAGGCUUAUAUUCCCCUUCUAGUAUAUUUACACAUCUUAUAUGUAUAUUUCGUAUGUGGCGUAUUUUAGAUCAGAAAAGGAAUAACCAGUAUCUUGGGACAUCUUUCCUUUGUAUUGACAUCAAGGGAAACGCUUAUGAAGGGAAGCUAGAUAAAACACUUCCAGAUACAACAACUCAGAUCGUGCAAGAGGGCGAGAUAUACCAAAUUCAAUAUUUCUCCCUCUUACCCAACGCCCAACGAUACAAUCUCACCACUCAGCAAUACAUUAUCCUCAUCACCAGGUCAACAUCGAUAGAAAUGGUAGAAGAUGAAAUCCCGAUGAUGCCUCACAACACAUUCCCUACUAUUCGAUACAGGCGAUUGAUCAGCAUCGCCAUUACUUCCAAUUAGUUGCCAGAUGUGGUUGGGCAAGUAAAAUUGAUUCAAGGAACCGAUCUCCAAAAUCCGAGGCUAGCGUCAAAGAUUGUAGUUGGUCUACUUCUGAACAGUUUCAGAACCGUCCGCUUGGUAAUAUCAGACAAUGCUUCUUCUCUGUUUAGAGACAUGUAUAUCAAGUCAGUAAUUAAAUACAGAGUUAUACUAAUCACAAGCGUCAAUCCCAGAUUGAUAAAAGGGAAAUUGACUCUCACCACGACCACUGCUACUCGCUUUUACCAUGACAGCUCUAUCGAUCCCAUCCAGCAAUUCAUCCGGAAAUAUGAAGUUGGCAAUCACUCUUGAAUUGAUCAUAUAGGCUGUCUUCUGAUUCUAAGAGUUUAAGUAUGUGUGUUUUUAUCCUAUGAGAUAGGUUUUGUUUAGAUUGGUUGCACUUUGGAAGACUUGGAUAAUAAAAAUUGGGAGGUUGAAUU